rnacentral:rRNA from 1 species
UACGGAGUGUGCAAGCGUUACUCGGAAUCACUGGGCGUAAAGCGCACGUAGGCGGCUUUUUAAGUCAGGGGUGAAAUCCUGGAGCUCAACUCCAGAACUGCCUUUGAUACUGAGAAGCUUGAGUCCGGGAGAGGUGAGUGGAACUGCGAGUGUAGAGGUGAAAUUCGUAGAUAUUCGCAAGAACACCAGUGGCGAAGGCGGCUCACUGGCCCGGUACUGACGCUGAGGUGCGAAAGCGUGGGGAGCAAACAGGG